GACCACGGGACAGCAUUUUGAAAUACGAAAUUUUCCCGUAGAACGCGGUACAUCUGGCCACCCUGGAGAAAGGUCAUUACAAUUUUUUAUACGUAUUGAAUUAUUAUUAUUAUUUACCUAUUUCAUUUCGAAUCAUUAAAAUUAAAAUAGAACUACCUCCAAUCAAUAAAGUUAGAUAUUUGUUAAAAGUGGUAUCUGAGUAA